ACCUGCGGUGCAUUAGCUAGUUGGUAAGGUAACGGCUUACCAAGGCGAUGAUGCAUAGCCGAGUUGAGAGACUGAUCGGCCACAAUGGAACUGAGACACGGUCCAUACUCCUACGGGAGGCAGCAGUAGGGAAUCUUCCACAAUGGGCGCAAGCCUGAUGGAGCAACACCGCGUGAGUGAAGAAGGGUUUCGGCUCGUAAAGCUCUGUUGUUGGAGAAGAACGUGCGUGAGAGUAACUGUUCACGCAGUGACGGUAUCCAACCAGAAAGUCACGGCUAACUACGUGCCAGCAGCCGCGGUAAUACGUAGGUGGCAAGCGUUAUCCGGAUUUAUUGGGCGUAAAGCGAGCGCAGGCGGUUGCUUAGGUCUGAUGUGAAAGCCUUCGGCUUAACCGAAGAAGUGCAUCGGAAACCGGGCAACUUGAGUGCAGAAGAGGACAGUGGAACUCCAUGUGUAGCGGUGGAAUGCGUAGAUAUAUGGAAGAACACCAGUGGCGAAGGCGGCUGUCUGGUCUGCAACUGACGCUGAGGCUCGAAAGCAUGGGUAGCGAACAGGAUUAGAUACCCUGGUAGUCCAUGCCGUA
rnacentral:rRNA from 1 species